CCUUGUUUUGUGGAUAGUUUUGGCAGAUGCUUGAGAUUUUUCUGAUUUGAUGUUUUGCUUAGGAACGGGGAAGAGGGUUGAUUGCAAGCAAAGGCAAAUUACAAACACGCGGCAAUGCAUUAUUUUUGUAGGCUCCUAUUGCACCAAUUAGAAAAGGAUAAGAAAAUCAUUUAUUGGUUUAUUUGUAUGGCAAAUUACAAACAUGCGGCAUCUUUUUCUUAUUGGUUGAAUUAGUUUUAUUUAAUGUUAUUUUAUGUUAUCAAAACUAAUUUCAUAAAAGUUUGUAUUUUCUUAAUAUUUGUGCAAAAACCUUAAACACCUCUUAAAAUGAUACAGAGAGAGUAUUUAACAAAUUCUUAAUAGGGUAAGUUUAUGAAUAUUUAUUUGUAGAAUUUUGUCUGGACAGAUAAUUAGAAGCUUAUGUGACAUCAACGUUUUCUUGUUUUGCUUCACGUGUUUAUCCACUAAUUGUCCAAUUUUCCUUAAGUUUGCGUUUAAAUUUAUCUUUUUCAAAGGCCUUCUUUCUGAAGAGUGAAGACCCAUUAUCUAUCCCAUACAUACGAUGGUCGAUGGAUAAAGAAGCCAUUUCGCACGUUACGUUCUCUUCUAUUUCAGACCCAAUUUAAUCCAAACCCGUACCAAUGAGCUAUCACAAUCAAACCGAACCGGUUUAAACACCAACCGCUUCUGUUUAGCUCUGCGAUCGCCCCGUGAGUCUUGUUUGUGUGUUAUUAGACCAGAAAUACGUCGAUGAGCUUGGCCGAAAAGCGACAACAUUCAGCCGUUCGAUCCAAGAUCUACGGAUCAGAUUGCUUCCACCGGAUAUCGCCCCGCGUCUGCCUCACCUUCAUGCCCACUGCCUCACUCUUUCAGCUUGAUUCGCACUCCGCUACUCGUGAACAGGUGAGCUUGAUCGAUAUGAGUUAUUGAAUAUCUCUCAUUGAGUGAUCGAUCUUCUUUCUGAAACGAGGCUCAAAUGAGAGAGCAGACGCUGGUAGAAGAGAAUAGUGCAUAUGAGAAUGCGAUGUCAAUCUUGUGAGAUAAAGAUAGAAGAGAAGAGACAUGAGGCAGAGAUUCUCUUCUUACAAAGUUGAAGGAGCUAGAAGACGAUGAUGAAAACUUGAAACCUGAGCAAGAAGCUUCUCUGUCUGUUCAUGUUCUCACACGUGAUACUUCAGUCUGACAUGUUGUCAAUGUUACUAGUUUAUCACCAGUCAGAACUGUCAAGUCUCCAACAUAUAGAAAGCCCAAAAAGCUAUGUUAGAUAGCUUAUUUUCAGUAGGAACCCAAUACUCCGUAUAAAAUUUGUAGGGGAUAUAUAUGAUCAUUGUUCGCAAAUGGUUUUUCGUGUUUGCAUAUGAAUAGUGAAUACAUAACAAACACAAAUACUGAGACUCCUACAAAAAUCUUUCUUUGCAAUUUCUUUUGUUGAUUUAAGAUAUAAGUCUCAUCUACCUAUU